rnacentral:tRNA from 1 species
GAUCCAUUAGCUCAGUGGUUAGAGCGUCGGUCUUAUGAGCCGAAUGUCGUGGGUUCGAUCCCCACAUGGAUCA